CAAGUCGAACGGCAGCACAGUACGUAGCAAUACGUACGGGUGGCGAGUGGCGGACGGGUGAGUAACGCGUAGGAAUCUGCCUUUAAGCGGGGGAUAACCCGAGGAAACUCGGGCUAAUACCGCAUAAUAUCGAGAGAUUAAAGCUAGGGCAACCUGGCACUUAAAGAGGAGCCUGCGUCUGAUUAGCUAGUUGGUAGGGUAAAGGCCUACCAAGGCGAUGAUCGGUAACUGGUCUGAGAGGAUGAUCAGUCACACUGGAACUGAGACACGGUCCAGACUCCUACGGGAGGCAGCAGUGGGGAAUAUUGGACAAUGGGGGCAACCCUGAUCCAGCAAUGCCGCGUGUGUGAAGAAGGCCUUCGGGUUGUAAAGCACUUUAGGUUGGGAGGAAGGUAUGCAGUUUAAGAGAUAGCAUAUUUGACUGUACCGACAGAAUAAGCACCGGCUAACUCUGUGCCAGCAGCCGCGGUAAUACAGAGGGUGCAAGCGUUAAUCGGAGUUACUGGGCGUAAAGGGUGCGUAGGUGGUUGUUUAAGUUAGAUGUGAAAUCCCUGGGCUUAACCUAGGAACUGCAUCUAAUACUGGAUGACUAGAGUAUUGUAGAGGGUAGUGGAAUUUCCGGUGUAGCGGUGAAAUGCGUAGAGAUCGGAAGGAACACCAGUGGCGAAGGCGGCUACCUGGACAAAUACUGACACUGAGGCACGAGAGCGUGGGGAGCAAACAGGAUUAGAUACCCUGGUAGUCCACGCUGUAAACGAUGAAAACUAGAUGUUGGGCAGCUUGACUGUUUAGUAUCG
rnacentral:rRNA from 1 species